rnacentral:rRNA from 1 species
UAGGGAAUCUUCCACAAUGGACGCAAGUCUGAUGGAGCAACGCCGCGUGAGUGAAGAAGGCUUUCGGGUCGUAAAACUCUGUUGUUGGAGAAGAAUGGUCGGCAGAGUAACUGUUGUCGGCGUGACGGUAUCCAACCAGAAAGCCACGGCUAACUACGUGCCAGCAGCCGCGGUAAUACGUAGGUGGCAAGCGUUAUCCGGAUUUAUUGGGCGUAAAGCGAGCGCAGGCGGUUUUUUAAGUCUGAUGUGAAAGCCCUCGGCUUAACCGAGGAAGCGCAUCGGAAACUGGGAAACUUGAGUGCAGAAGAGGACAGUGGAACUCCAUGUGUAGCGGUGAAAUGCGUAGAUAUAUGGAAGAACACCAGUGGCGAAGGCGGCUGUCUGGUCUGUAACUGACGCUGAGGCUCGAAAGCAUGGGUAGCGAACAGGAUUAGAUACCCUGGUAGUCCAUGCCGUAAACGAUGAAUGCUAGGUGUUGGAGGGUUUCCGCCCUUCAGUGCCGCAGCUAACGCAUUAAGCAUUCCGCCUGGGGAGUACGACCGCAAGGUUGAA